CCUACGGGUGGCAGCAGUAGGGAAUCUUUCACAAUGGGCGAAAGCCUGAUGGAGCAACGCCGCGUGCAGGAUGAAGGCCUUCGGGUUUGAAACUGCUUUUAUAAGCGAGAAAUAUGAUGGUAACUUAUGAAUAAGGAUCGGCUAACUACGUGCCAGCAGCCGCGGUCAUACGUAGGAUACGAGCAUUAUCCGGAGUGACUGGGUGUAAAGAGUUGCGUAUGUGGCAUAAUAAGUAGCUGGGGAAAUCUGGUGGCUCAACCAUUCAGACUAUUAGCGAAACUGUUAAGCUCGAGACCGUUAGGGGUAACUGGAAUGUCUAGUGUAGGAGUGAAAUCCGUAGAUAUUAGAAGGAACACCAAUAGCGUAGGCAGGUUGCUGGGACGGUUCUGACACUAAGGCACGAAAGCGUAGGGAGCAAACGGGAUUAGAUACCCGGGUAGUC
rnacentral:rRNA from 1 species